rnacentral:rRNA from 1 species
UACGUAGGCAGCAAGCGUUGUUCGGAAUUACUGGGCGUAAAGAGUGUGUAGGCGGUGCUCUAAGUUCGGUGUGAAAUCUCCUGGCUCAACUGGGAGGGUGCGCCGAAAACUGGAAUGCUCGAGCGUGGGAGAGGAAAGCGGAAUUCCUGGUGUAGCGGUGAAAUGCGUAGAUAUCAGGAGGAACACCAAUGGCGAAGGCAGCUCGCUGGGACGGUACUGACGCUGAGACGCGAAAGCGUGGGGAGCAAACAGG